rnacentral:rRNA from 1 species
AGUGAACGCUGGCGGCAGGCCUAAUACAUGCAAGUCGAACGGCAGCACAGCAGAGCUUGCUCUGUGGGUGGCGAGUGGCGGACGGGUGAGGAAUACGUGGGAAUCUGCCCAGUCGUGGGGAUAACGUAGGGAAACUUACGCUAAUACCGCAUGCGCCCUUCGGGGAAAGCCGGGGACCUUCGGGCCUGGCGCGAUUGGAUGAGCCCACGUCGGAUUAGCUAGUUGGCGGGGUAAAGGCCCACCAAGGCGACGAUCCGUAGCUGGUCUGAGAGGAUGAUCAGCCACACUGGAACUGAGACACGGUCCAGACUCCUACGGGAGGCAGCAGUAGGGAAUAUUGGACAAUGGGCGCAAGCCUGAUCCAGCCAUGCCGCGCGAGUGAAGAAGGCCCUCGGGUUGUAAAGCUCUUUGUCCGGAAAGAAAGCGCCGGGUUAAUACCCUGGUGUCCUGACGGUACCGGAAGAAUAUGCACCGGCUAACUUCGUGCCAGCAGCCGCGGUAAU